rnacentral:rRNA from 1 species
CCCUUAGAUGUUCUGGGUCGCACGCGCGCUACACUGAUGCAUUCAACGAGCCUAUCCUUGACCGACAGGUCCGGGUAAUCUUUGAAUCUGCAUCGUGACGGGGAUAGAUUAUUGCAAUUAUUAAUCUUCAACGAGGAAUGCCUAGUAGGCGCAAGUCAUCAGCUUGCGUCGAUUACGUCCCUGCCCUUUGUACACACCGCCCGUCGCACCUACCGAUUGAAUGGUCCGGUGAAGCCUCCGGAUUGGCGCGCACCUCGGUGCCGCCGAGAAGUUGGCUAAACCUUACCAUUUAGAGGAAGGUGAAGUCGUAACA